rnacentral:rRNA from 1 species
AACGAACGCUGGCGGCAUGCCUAACACAUGCAAGUCGAACGAGACCUUCGGGUCUAGUGGCGCACGGGUGCGUAACGCGUGGGAACCUGCCCUUAGGUUCGGAAUAACUCCCCGAAAGGGGUGCUAAUACCGGAUAAUGUCUUCGGACCAAAGAUUUAUCGCCUUUGGAUGGGCCCGCGUUGGAUUAGCUAGUUGGUAGGGUAAAAGCCUACCAAGGCGACGAUCCAUAGCUGGUCUGAGAGGAUGAGCAGCCACACUGGGACUGAGACACGGCCCAGACUCCUACGGGAGGCAGCAGUGGGGAAUAUUGGACAAUGGGCGAAAGCCUGAUCCAGCAAUGCCGCGUGAGUGAUGAAGGCCUUAGGGUUGUAAAGCUCGUUUACCCGGGAUGAUAAUGACAGUACCGGGAGAAUAAGCGCCGGCUAACUCCGUG